rnacentral:rRNA from 1 species
ACUCCUACGGGAGGCAGCAGUGGGAAUCUUGGACAAUGGGGCAACCGUGCAUCCAGCCAUGCCGCGUGAGUGAUGAAGGCCUUAGGGUCGUAAAGCUCUUUCGCCUGUGAAGAUAAUGACGGUAGCAGGUAAAGAAACCCCGCGUAACAUCCGUGCCAGCAGCCGCGGUAAUACGGAGGGGGUUAGCGUUGUUCGGAAUUACUGGGCGUAAAGCGCAUGCAGGUGGCUUGUUAAGUCAGAUGUGAAAGCCCGGGGCUCAACCUCGGAAUUGCAUUUGAAACUGGCAGACUAGAGUACUGUAGAGGGGGUGAGAAUUUCAGGUGUAGCGGUGAAAUGCGUAGAGAUCUGAAGGAAUACCGGUGGCGAAGGCGGCCCCUGC